rnacentral:precursor_RNA from 14 species
UUCUAACUUUUGACCAUGGCUCUUGCCAGCCAAUCUGAAUGUGCAUUUUCACUGUGUGUCUAUACAACAGUAAAUGCCAUUCAGGUUGACUGGAGGGAGUGUGUAGCAGCGGCAAACUUA